rnacentral:rRNA from 1 species
AUGGAUCAGCUCCUCGUGCUCCUGGCGCUUCUCUUGUGCGGCCUCGUCGCCGUCCUCCGGCGCGGCCGUGCUCCUCCUCCUCCGCCCUCACUCGCCAUGCACAAGAUCAGCGACCCUGCCGUCGCCCACCGCGCGCUCGUCGAGAACGCCGACGCCUUCUCCAACCGCCCGCCCGCGCGCCUGCACGUGGCCCUGGCCGGCCGGCGUGGCGGCCAGCGGAGCGAGAACCUCAACUCCGUGGCGCACGGACCGCACUGGCGCGCCCUCCGGUGCAACCUCACCGCCGAGACCCUCCACCCGUCGCGCCUCGGCGGCCUCGCGCCCCUCCAGCGGGAGGCCGUCCAGGCUCUCGUCGCCGCCCUGUCGUCCGCCCCCCGUGGAAGCCGGGAGGAGGUGACGGAGGUGCACCAGCACCUCUAUGGCGCCGUGUUCUCGGUCGUCGCGCGCCUGUGCUUCGGUGACGCCGUCGACGAGGCCCAUGUGCGCGCCAUGCGCCACGUCAUACAGAGGUACCAGAUCGCCAUUGGGCUGGUCAAGCCCUUCACGUCCAUGGGCUCCGUGAUGGAGAAGCUCGUGGAGUGGAGGCGGCUGCGCAGGCUCUUCGCCAUCGAUGUCCGGCUAAAGGAGCUGUUCCUCCCUCCCAUCGACGCACGGCGGCAGAGGGGUCAGUCUCCUCGACCACGCGACGACGACGGCCGUCGUCCGUACGUCGACUCACUCGUCGACCUACGCGUCCCUGACGAGGACGGCGGGCGGCGCGCUCUUAGGGACGACGAGAUGGUGCACCUAAUUUCGGAGUUCCUCGGUGCCGGCACGGGGACGGCGGUGGCAACCCUCGAAUGGGCCCUCGCCCACCUUGUCGACAAGCCGGAGGUGCAGGAGAAGCUCCGUGGCGAGGUCGACGAUGGCGAGGUCUCCCGUGCUGGUGCAGGCAUGCCUUACCUGCAUGCCGUCGUGCUGGAGACCCUACGCAUGCACCCGCCGCUGCCGGUCAUCCCACGCCAUGUCCAUGCCGAUUCCGUCGGGGUGCUGGUCGGAGGAAUGGCCGGGCCGCCGCCGGCCGGCGACUUUUACGUGAAUUUCUCUGCAGGGGACAUUGGUAGGGACAGCAAGAUAUGGAAGGAUCCCGACGAGUUUCUUCCGGAGAGGUUCCUGACCGGCGGCGACGGGGAGGGCAUCGGCCCGUUGCCGGGGCCCAAGCAGAUAAGGAUGAUGCCAUUUGGCGCCGGGCAUAGGUUCUGCCCUGGCGUGGGCAUGGCGAUGGUGAACAUGAAGUGCUUCUUGGCGGCGCUCGUGCGCGAGUUCGAGUGGGCGCCGCCGACUGGCACCAUCGCCAUUGACCUCACGGAGCUGGAUUCCUUCUUCAAGGUGAUGAAGAAGCCGCUUUCUGCGCGUGUCACGCGACGCACCAAAUCCAUCUAA